rnacentral:lncRNA from 1 species
GAUGAAAGAGAUUUGUGAGUGGCAUAAGUCAUGGCAGAAAUAGCCUUGGGACAUGAGUUACUUACUCUAUUCUGUUGCGUAAAAGUCUUGCUGCUGUGUAUAAUAGCCCCACAGAUUAACAAGUACAAUGUAAAAGGAUCUAGAUAUUUUUCUUAAAUAAAGAUUUGCUGUUCUCAACAAAAAACCUCUUCCAAUGAUUACGCUAGUAUAGGCACUCUGC